AUGUACAUUCCUACAGUAUAAUGUUAAUGCACUGGAUCCCAUUAUAAAUAUGCCAUUAGAACUCCACAGUUAAGUGCGCUCAGGAUAGAGUAGUACUGGGAUGGGUGACCACUCAAGAAGUCCUAGUGUUUUACAUG
rfam:Picea glauca, whole genome shotgun sequence.